rnacentral:misc_RNA from 1 species
GCUCCUACCGAUUGAGUGAUCCGGUGAAUUAUUCGGACUGACGCAGUGCUCAACUUCUGGACGUUGCGUUGGAAAGUUUCAUGAACCUUAUCACUUAGAGGAAGGAGAAGUCGUAACAAGGUUUCCGUAGGUGAACCUGCAGAAGGAUCACUAUCUGAAUAGCGUCGUGUAGGGUAAUAGUGUAGUUCUCGGUGUUCGCCGUAUCAUUACCACAAAAAACUCCCGUCCGUUUUCUCCUACCUUCCAUCUUACUCACAAGAUAUCACCUCUUCCAAUC